AAGGGAGACCUAAUUCCAGUAGGAGACGAAAAAAAAGUAGUCCCUACCAAGAAUCAAUCCCAAAAGGUCGGAGCGAGGCAAAAUUGGCUUUCAAACUAGGUUCUGGGUUCACACAAGACCUGAAUCAGGAACAAGGGCUAUUAGCUCAGGUGGUUAGAGCGCACCCCUGAUAAGGGUGAGGUCCCUGGUUCGAGUCCAAGAUGGCCCACCUGCACAGGUGGAAGAAAGAAAAGAAGCUCCGAAUCAGCACCUUAUCUUACUUAUAUAGUAAGAGAGAAUGCUGGCUCUGAGUACAGAGUCCAGAGGAACCUUGAAAACUGCAUAGAGCUAGGUGAAAAAGCCAAAAAAGAAGACCGCAAGGUCAAGCUAAUAAGGGCUAACGGUGGAUACCUAGGCAC
rnacentral:tRNA from 1 species